CAGGAUUAAGUGGUGGUUAUUCGACCACUGGGGUCACCAAGGCAGAGCUCACCCUCUGGCCUCUCCUCGAUGCCUUCAUUGGGCUGGCUCUGGUGUACAGGGUAAGAUUCCGGUCCUGUGUGGUCCGUGUAAGCCCCACCUCUGUGCCGAGUGCGAUGUCUUCCGAGGAAUAUUGCAGCUGGCCUUCAUCCAGGCUUGGGCGUGAAGAUGGAAGUCAGAGUGCAGCAAGGCGGAGCUGGAGCAGAGGUCCUGGGCAGCAGGGAACGUGGGUGUGGCUCAAUCUUGGAGAGACGCCCUUUGGGCAGACAGGAAAGGAGAGACUGGGGGUCACCCCACAUGGUCCUGUGUUUUCCCCAAGA
ensembl:lncRNA